GGGGGUGAAUGGAUUCGACGGAUUGAGUUCUGGCACAGGUAGCAGGCCGAGUUGCCGCAAGCUCGUUAAAAAGGCGGAAGGCAUACAAACGCCAAUAACGAAUUAGCACUGGCUGCCUAAUAACAGCCACAUCUUCCUCACCUUGCCGGCAGGGUGGGAGAGGGUGUCAAUUUUACCGGAUACUUCCUGCUCAAGCUCCGAAUGCAGGAGGGAAAAAACAGGGGCUUGGAUUCCCGGGGAUUUUGUUCAGGAAAGCCCUGAGGUCCGAGAAAAAAAACCUGAAAUAAGCCUGUAGAAGCCGGUGUGGGAGCCUUUUCGGACGCGGGUUCGAUUCCCGCCACCUCCACCA
rnacentral:tmRNA from 1 species